ensembl:snRNA U1 U1 spliceosomal RNA
AUACUUACCUGGCAGAGGAGAUACCAUGAUCAUGAAGGUGAUUUUCCCAGGGCGUGGCUUAUCCAUUGCACUCCGGAUGUGCUGACCUCUUUGAUUUCCCCAAAUGUGGGAAACUCGACUGCAUAAUUUGAGGUAGUGGGGGACUGCAUUUGCGCUUUCCCCAG